ensembl:Y_RNA Y_RNA Y RNA
GGCUGGUCCGAGUGCAGUGGUGUUUACAGCUAAUUGAUCACAACCGGUUACAGAUUUCUUUGUUCCUUCUCCACUCCCACUGCUUCACUUGACUAGCCUUAA